rnacentral:piRNA from 1 species
UGAAUUAGCAAAAGUCCCUUCAGAGAAGCA